rnacentral:rRNA from 1 species
AUUGAACGCUGGCGGAAUGCUUUACACAUGCAAGUCGAACGAUGAACCUUAGCUUGCUAAGGGGAUUAGUGGCGAACGGGUGAGUAAUAUAUCGGAACGUACCUUGUAAUGGGGGAUAACUAGUCGAAAGAUUAGCUAAUACCGCAUACGCCCUGAGGGGGAAAGUAGGGGAUCUUCGGACCUUACGUUAUAAGAGCGGCCGAUAUCUGAUUAGCUAGUUGGUGGGGUAAUGGCCUACCAAGGCGACGAUCAGUAGCUGGUCUGAGAGGACGACCAGCCACACUGGAACUGGGACACGGUCCAGACUCCUACGGGAGGCAGCAGUGGGGAAUUUUGGACAAUGGGCGCAAGCCUGAUCCAGCCAUUCCGCGUGAGUGAAGAAGGCCUUCGGGUUGUAAAGCUCUUUCGCAAGGGAAGAAAACUUACAUUCUAAUAAAGUGUGAGGCUGACGGUACCUUGAUAAGAAGCACCGGCUAACUACGUGCCUGCAGCCGCCGUAACAC